rnacentral:lncRNA from 1 species
UUUUUAUGCAGCACACAUGCCAUAAUCUAUUCCAAUGUGAUACUUCAGUGCAAAUAUUAAACUCAUAAUCUGUGAUUGAGAAAAAGAAUAUUGGUUGGAGCUGAAACUCAAAGAAUGGAGGAAAAUUUUCUGUUAACUGAAAAGUGAAGCCCACCAAUGGCAUUUAGUAAAGCAUCCCUAGUAGAAAAGGCAGCAUCUGAGACAGAGGAUGUAGGAAGUUCCUCUUAAGCAUGAGUGGGCAGCUGGGCUGGUUCUUCAGAAGAGGUGAAACACAUUGCUUAAAUUCUUUCCAAGAAACUGCAUCAUUCUUCAGCUUCCCUUAA